rnacentral:rRNA from 1 species
CAAUAUACAAGGUGCUGCAGUGGUUGUCGUCAGCUCGUGCCGUGAGGUGUCGGGUUAAGUCCCGCAACGAGCGCCAACCCCUGCUGCCAGUUGCCGAACGGGUGAAGGCCGGGCACUCUGGGCGGGACUGCCAUCGACAAGAUGGAGGAAGGUGGGGAUGACGUCAAGUCAUCAUGGCCCUUAUGUCCAGGGCGACACACGUGCUACAAUGGCCGGCACAACGGGAAGCGAGUUCGCGAGGACGAGCGGAUCCCUCAAAGCCGGUCGCAGUUCGGAUUGAAGUCUGCAACUCGACUUCAUGAAGCUGGAAUCGCUAGUAAUCGUGGAUCAGCCAAGCCGCGGUGAAUACGUUCCCGGGCCUU